rnacentral:sRNA from 14 species
AUAUCCCAUUCGUGCACUGCGAUUAAUGCGCGUCGUCCAUGCCGCCUGACGACUGCGCGCUACGUGUUGCUAGCC